rnacentral:rRNA from 1 species
GUCCAGACUCCUACGGGAGGCAGCAGUGGGGAAUAUUGCACAAUGGGGGAAACCCUGAUGCAGCGACGCCGCGUGAGUGAAGAAGUAUUUCGGUAUGUAAAGCUCUAUCAGCAGGGAAGAUAAUGACGGUACCUGAGUAAGAAGCCCCGGCUAACUACGUGCCAGCAGCCGCGGUAAUACGUAGGGGGCAAGCGUUAUCCGGAUUUACUGGGUGUAAAGGGAGCGUAGACGGCAUGGCAAGUCUGAAGUGAAAGCCCGGGGCUCAACCGCGGGACUGCUUUGGAAACUGUUAAGCUGGAGUGCAGGAGAGGUAAGUGGAAUUCCUAGUGUAGCGGUGAAAUGCGUAGAUAUUAGGAGGAACACCAGUGGCGAAGGCGGCUUACUGGACUGUAACUGACGUUGAGGCUCGAAAGCGUGGGGAGCAAACAGGAUUAGAUACCCUUGUAC